rnacentral:rRNA from 1 species
UACGAGUGCCCCGAGCGUUAUCCGGAAUCAUUGGGCGUAAAGCGCACGUAGGCGGCCUCGCAAGUUGGAUGUGAAAUCCCUCGGCUCAACCGAGGACGUGCAUCCAAAACUGCGGGGCUUGAGUACUGAAGAGGAUCGCGGAAUUCCCGGUGUAGAGGUGAAAUUCGUAGAUAUCGGGAGGAACACCGGUGGCGAAGGCGGCGAUCUGGGCAGAUACUGACGCUGAGGUGCGAAAGCGUGGGGAGCAAACAGG